AAUUUUCCAGCAAGCACCAUCCUCGAUCUCUCCUUCAACAAUCUAACAGGACCAAUCCCUGGUACACCACCAUUGCUUAACCAAAAGACUGAGUCCUUCUCUGGUAAUACAGGCUUGUGUGGGCAGCCAUUGAAAACUCCUUGUUCAAUCCCUUCUACUCUAUCAGACCCACAAAAUAUCUCUGAAACUACUUCACCAGCAAUAGCAGUAAUGCCCAGAACUCCAACACCAACAACUCCAUCAGUAGAAUCACCAAAUCAAACAACCAAAAGCAAACUAAAGCCAAGCACAAUCGUAGGCAUUACACUUGCAGAUAUAGCUGGUCUAGCUAUCAUAGCUAUGUUCAUCCUCUACAUAUACCAGCUCAAGAAACGUAGAAGCUCCAAAGAAUACAGCACUUUCAGCGUCUUACAAAAAUGACUGGAGAGAAACGAUACAUUACCAGUCAAGAAAUCGAAACAAAACACCAUAGUCGCCGCCUCAGAGAUCACCAAAUCUCCAGCUACAAAAACUGGAUGUGGCUCGUGGAUAAUUCGAAGGUACGACGAGACAACGUCUGCAUCAUCCGAGAGCGACGUAGAGAACCAGCUGCAAGACAAGAAACCCAUUGAGGCAUUUAAUCGAACAAGUGGUGGGCGUGAAAAAGGCAACACUGAAACAAAACUAGUGAUGGUCGAUGGAGAGACUCAGCUAGAGCUAGAUACUUUACUAAAGACAUCAGCUUACGUACUUGGUACAAGCCGAAGCGGGAUCGUGUACAAAGCCGUGUUAGAGAACGGCUCAGCUUUUGCGGUGCGGCGGAUCGGAGCGGAGUGUUGUACGGUGACGAAGUUUAAAGAAUUCGAAAAGGAGGUUCAGUGUAUCGCUAAACUUUGUCACCCAAAUCUCGUUAGGGUUCGUGGCUUCGUCUGGGGUAACGAAGAGAAGCUUCUCAUCUCCGACUAUGUCCCCAAUGGGAAUCUACCUCUCUCCUCCAUCUCCGCUAAAUCAGGCUCGUCUUCUCAGAACCCUCUCUCGUUUGAGGCACGGCUGAAGAUAGCAAAGGGCAUAGCUAGAGGAGUUGCUUAUAUACACGACAAGAAGCAUGUGCACGGCAACAUCAAGCCCAAUAAUAUUCUCUUGGACUCUGAGUUUGAGCCUGUAAUUACUGAUAUGGGCCUCGAUCGUCUUAUGACUCCGGCUGAUUCACUCACGGCUGGACCAAUGUCGAGCUCACAGCAUCAUCCACCAGAGUGGUCGAGUAGCCAGAAACCAAAUCCCAAAUGGGAUGUUUAUUCCUUUGGUGUGAUACUCUUUUAGCUUCUCACAGGCAAAGUUUUUUCGGUUGAUCGUGAUCUUGUUCGUGAUUAUGAGACCGAUGAGAAAACUUGGUUUUUGAGGUUGGUUGAUGGGACAAUUAGGGUUGAGGUGGCUCGCCGUGAAGAUGAGGCGGUCGCAUGCUUCAAGUUAGGCUAUGGUUGUGUCUCUUCCUUGCCUCAAAAGCGACCGUCUAUGAAGGAUGUGGUGCAAGUGCUAGAGAAAAUGUUUGUUUAAUUGUUUACUUUAUUCAAAUUUAGAAAGAUUGCAUAAAUUUUGUUGCAAUCAAAUGGAUCAUUUAAAUUGUUGUUUACUUUUUUUUUUUGAAUUUUUUUUUUUGAUAAACUAUCAUGUAUAAGUGAAAUCAUAAGUGCAAAUAUUGUCUCAUGAGAA